UUCAGUAUGAUCCAAGAUAGUUAAUUGGAAAUCUGCUACAUUUUAGCAGAUCACGUGACCAGGGUCUUUUCUCCCCAAGCGGGAAAGACCCUGGGUUACGGGUUGAGUGAAUGCCUCUCAUAAGUCAUAAGCGCACUGGCUAGGAACUGAACAUUGCAACGGUUACGUCAAAAUCAUAGAAAACCAAGAAGUCGACCUUCUGUAUGAGUUGCCUUAUGUCUCCAAUCUGUUACUAGGCACUGAUCUAAUAUUUAACGGUGUUAGAAAUGGACCUUUCCCCUUAUAACUAAAAUUUCGAUCCAGACAAAAAUUUCAUCAUAGCUUUAAAGAGCAUCACAAAAUUAGUAAUAUUCCAAAGUUUUGUUGCAAAAUCUUGUAAAAUGCGGAUAAUAUAGCCUUGCGAAGUUUGCCGUUUUUCAGUCAUUUUGUAUUACAAACGGGAAAUUGACAUACGAUUCGGGUGUUGGGGCUGCAAUUUCCCGUUUGUAAUCUAAAAUGAUUGAAAAUUGCAAACUUCGCAAGGCUCUAUUUUCCUCAUUUUACAACAUUUCGCAACGAAACUUUGGAAUAUUACUAAUUUUGUGAUGCUCUUUCAAGCUGUGAUGAAAUAUUUUUCUCAAAUUCAUUAAUAAUUCAUGAGCAAUUCAGCCAAUGAUAAUCACCUAUUUGAUCACAAGAUGCCAUUUGGAUAACCCGGUGAAACUUGAUGAAAGUCACUAGUGUUUUCAUCAAAUAUCUUAAUUACGC